rnacentral:rRNA from 1 species
UACGUAUGGGGCAAGCGUUGUUCGGAAUUAUUGGGUGUAAAGGGCGUCUAGGCGGGGGAUUAAGUAAGGUGUGAAAGCCAUGGGCUCAACCCGUGAAUUGCAUCUUAAACUGAUUCUCUUGAGUUCGGGAGAGGAAAGCGGAAUUCCUGGUGUAGCGGUGAAAUGCGUAGAUAUCAGGAAGAACACCAGUGGCGAAGGCGGCUUUCUGGCCUAGAACUGACGCUGAAGCGCGAAAGCGUGGGGAG